AAGAGAGGGGAAAAAAGGCAUGACUAUGCUGGAGAGCCGAACGGGACCUUGUUCCUUCUCUUCUGUGCUUUCUAUCCACAUCACCUGGACCUCUGCGCCUGCUGAUGAAGACCCUGUAGAAAUGAGGUGUGAUGUAAAACAGAAACAACAUUCGGGCCAUCACUAGCAGAGCCACCUGUGAGAGUACAAGAUGAACUUACUGACCCGAAUGAUUUUAAAGGCUGACCACUUUGAUCUUAGAG